rnacentral:rRNA from 1 species
CCCUUAGAUGUUCUGGGCCGCACGCGCGCUACACUGAUGCAUUCAACGAGUCUAAAACCUGCUCUGAUAGGGGUGGGUAAUCUUUUGAAUGUGCAUCGUGAUUGGGAUAGAUGAUUGCAAUUUUUCAUCUUCAACGAGGAAUGCCUAGUAAACGCAAGUCAUCAGCUUGCAUUGAUUACGUCCCUACCCUUUGUACACACCGCCCGUCGCUCCUACCGAUUGAAUGAUCCGAUGAAUAUCAUGGAUUGAGGAUGCAAGUAGGUUAGCCUAUCUUCAUCUUCGAGAAGUGAAGUAAAUCUUAUCAUUUAGAGGAAGGAGAAGUCGUAACA